GACGAACGCUGGCGGCGUGCUUAACACAUGCAAGUCGAACGGUGAAGGGAUCAGCUUGCUGGUUCUGGAUGAGUGGCGAACGGGUGAGUAACACGUGAGUAACCUGCCCCCUUCUUCUGGAUAACCGCAUGAAAGUGUGGCUAAUACGGGAUAUUCUGGGUCUGUCGCAUGAUGGGUCUGGGAAAGAUAUUGUUUCGGUGGGGGAUGGGCUCGCGGCCUAUCAGCUUGUUGGUGGGGUGAUGGCCUACCAAGGCGGUGACGGGUAGCCGGCCUGAGAGGGUGGACGGUCACACUGGGACUGCGACACGGCCCAGACUCCUACGGGAGGCAGCAGUGGGGAAGAUUGCACAAUGGGCGCAAGCCUGAUGCAGCGACGCCGCGUGAGGGAUGGAGGCCUUCGGGUUGUAAACCUCUUUCGCCAGUGAAGCAGGCCUGCUCCUUGUGGGUGGGUUGACGGUAGCUGGAGAAGAAGCGCCGGCUAACUACGUG
rnacentral:rRNA from 1 species